UACGAAGGGGGCUAGCGUUGCUCGGAAUCACUGGGCGUAAAGGGCGCGUAGGCGGCAAUUCAAGUCAUCUGUGAAAUCUCCGGGCUUAACUCGGAACGGUCAGGUGAUACUGCUUUGCUAGAGUGCAGAAGGGGCAAUCGGAAUUCUUGGUGUAGCGGUGAAAUGCGUAGAUAUCAAGAGGAACACCUGAGGUGAAGACGGGUUGCUGGGCUGACACUGACGCUGAGGCGCGAAAGCUAGGGGAGCAAACGGG
rnacentral:rRNA from 1 species